AAAAUGGGAAGGAAGGGCCUCUAUUUAAAGAAAUUGGGACUCGUUGGAUUUGCACCAAGUGAAAAAAUUUGAUGAAGAGAGAGAAAAGAUGCUUGGCAUGAAAAACAGAGGAGAAAAAUCUCCUCCACCAGUGGUGGCUGCGCGUCGCCCGAGGUGGGCGACGAUACGCUGCCUGAGGCGAUAAUGGCCCACCCGGCACACUAAAAGCUCCCUGCCACGCACGCAGGGGCUAGCCUUCGUGCGCGCAGGCCUACUACGUGCACAAUGUAUGGCAUUUCU
rnacentral:lncRNA from 1 species